rnacentral:rRNA from 1 species
GACGAACGCUGGCGGCGUGCUUAACACAUGCAAGUCGAACGAAGUGGCGAACGGGUGAGUAAUACGUGGGUAACCUGCCCUCCUUUUUGGGAUAAGCCUUGGAAACGGGGUCUAAUACCGAAUAUGGGGGGAUGGGCGCUCGGCCUAUCAGCUCGUGGGUGGGGUGAUGGCCUACAAAGGCGGUGACGGGGGGCGGGCCUGAGAGGGUGACCGGCCACACUGGAACUGAGACACGGUCCAGACUCCUACGGGAGGCAGCAGUGGGGAAUAUUGGACAAUGGGCGAAAGCCUGAUGCAGCCAUGCCGCGUGUGUGAAGAAGGCCUUAGGAUUGUAAAGUACUUUAAGCUGGGAGACGUUACCCGCAGAAUAAGCACCGGCUAACUCCGUGCCAGCAGCCGCGGUAAUUC